GGUUCCGGUGCGGGCGGAGGUUGCGUUGCCACGGCAGCGCGGUUGGCCGGCCGCUGGUUCUGGCGUUCCGGGUGGUGGUGGGGGCUGGAGCAGGCUUGGAUCCGCCGUUCCCGGCUUAGGUGAGCUUCCCGGAGCUUCAGUAAGGCCGUGGCUGUUCGCAGCGAGAGCAGGGACUGCGCCGGGCUCUGGCGGCCAGGCCUGCCCGGGGCUACGGCGUCGGGGCCCGGGCCGUGUGUCGCAGCCCUCCUGUGGUCCCGCUGCCCCCGUGGGAGCAGAGGCCCAGACCCCUUCCCGUGGUUCCCGCCUCUGCAGCGCGAUUAUUUCACUAAAACAACUUUGAUUUUUAAAGUUUGUAAAGAGCUCUCGUCUGUGUGAUCGGGGCUUCGCUGACUUUCCAGCCGACCUAAGCCCCUGGGCUUGGGCCCAGGAAAGGUUGAAUGGGGAACUAAGAAAGGAAUUGGUUCAUUCGACAGACGUUUUCUGAGCAGCUGCUGCGUGCAAGGCACGGUGCCGGCGCGGGACCUGUGCCCAGAGCUUGAGAAAUGAGAAGCAGAGUCAUUGAUUCCAGGUAAAUCAGAGGAACAAACAUCAUACAGAAAUACACAGGACAGUAACAUACAGGAAGCGAUGUGAUGUGGAAGCUUAACUGUUGUUUCAAAAGUCCAGCAUCUGGUGCACCUAACAGUAGGGGCUAUAUUAUUUGCAAAGUCACCUAACUUUUACUCAUACUUAUGUUCUGCAGAUAGAUUCCAUGAUUCAAACUGUUAUUACAUUUCCAGCGACUUCUGAGAAGGUGCCCAGACCACAGAAUUCAGAAAGCAAGGAGCCAGUACUGUUGUGUGUCACACUUGCUAGGAAGAUUUAUCUGUUGGCAGGAGUCUGUGUCUUCCUCUGAUAAUCACUGAGAUUGCGGCCAGACGAACACUGAGAAAAUUUUAUUGUUUUCCUUUGAAUGAUGGCUAAGAUGUAUUGCCAAGGCCAUAAAUAUUCAUUAUGUUGAGUCAGAAUUUCAUUUCACACUUCAACCUUUGAGCCUUCAUAAUUUCAGGCUUCAAAAUUAAAUCUUGCUGUCAUGGAAAUCCACUGCUCUAGCCUACUUCAACAAAGUAGCUAGCGAAGGACCCCAGUUUCACGGAUUGGGGGAGUGGGUUGGAAAUGGGCUGACAUUAACUGUUCAUUUUCCUUUGCAGGAAAAAAACUGGAGGAUUUUAAAAAAUAUUUUUUCCUACUCUUAUGGCCAGAAAAAUCCCACUUGCUAAUUCUAAACUUUACACUUUUUGAAAGUGUACUCUACUGAGAUAGAAUUAAUUGAUACCAAAUUUCUGUGAGCCAGAGUUUUGGAGUUUUAAUAAAAGACUGUAUUAUAAACCA